UUGCAAUAGGGAUAGAAGCGGCAUCCUUUUUUUGUUUAAAUUUUUCUAUUUUAAAACUUAUUUUCUGCAAAAAAAGAUACAGCGGAUAGCCCGGCCGACA
rnacentral:sRNA from 1 species